ACUCCUACGGGAGGCAGCAGUAGGGAAUCUUCCACAAUGGGCGCAAGCCUGAUGGAGCAACACCGCGUGAGUGAAGAAGGGUUUCGGCUCGUAAAGCUCUGUUGUUAAAGAAGAACACGUAUGAGAGUAACUGUUCAUACGUUGACGGUAUUUAACCAGAAAGUCACGGCUAACUACGUGCCAGCAGCCGCGGUAAUACGUAGGUGGCAAGCGUUAUCCGGAUUUAUUGGGCGUAAAGAGAGUGCAGGCGGUUUUCUAAGUCUGAUGUGAAAGCCUUCGGCUUAACCGGAGAAGUGCAUCGGAAACUGGAUAACUUGAGUGCAGAAGAGGGUAGUGGAACUCCACGUGUAGCGGUGGAAUGCGUAGAUAUAUGGAAGAACACCAGUGGCGAAGGCGGCUACCUGGUCUGCAACUGACGCUGAGACUCGAAAGCAUGGGUAGCGAACAGGAUUAGAUACCCUGGUAGGAAAGCG
rnacentral:rRNA from 1 species